GCGAACGGGUGAGUAAUAUAUCGGAACGUACCCAAGAGUGGGGGAUAACGUAGCGAAAGUUACGCUAAUACCGCAUACGAUCUAAGGAUGAAAGCAGGGGACCGCAAGGCCUUGUGCUCCUGGAGCGGCCGAUAUCUGAUUAGCUAGUUGGUGAGGUAAAGGCUCACCAAGGCAACGAUCAGUAGCUGGUCUGAGAGGACGACCAGCCACACUGGAACUGAGACACGGUCCAGACUCCUACGGGAGGCAGCAGUGGGGAAUUUUGGACAAUGGGGGCAACCCUGAUCCAGCAAUGCCGCGUGAGUGAAGAAGGCCUUCGGGUUGUAAAGCUCUUUUGUCAGGGAAGAAAAGGCUGUGGCUAAUAUCCAYAGCUGCUGACGGUACCUGAAGAAUAAGCACCGGCUAACUACGUGCCAGCAGCCGCGGUAAUACGUAGGGUGCAAGCGUUAAUCGGAAUUACUGGGCGUAAAGCGUGCGCAGGCGGUUUCGUAAGUCUGUCGUGAAAUCCCCGGGCUUAACCUGGGAAUGGCGAUGGAGACUGCGAGGCUAGAGUUUGGCAGAGGGGGGUAGAAUUCCACGUGUAGCAGUGAAAUGCGUAGAGAUGUGGAGGAACACCGAUGGCGAAGGCAGCCCCCUGGGUCAAAACUGACGCUCAUGCACGAAAGCGUGGGGAGCAAACAGGAUUAGAUACCCUGGUAGUCCACGCCCUAAACGAUGUCUACUAGUUGUUGGGUCUUAAUUGACUUAGUAACGCAGCUAACGCGUGAAGUAGACCGCCUGGGGAGUACGGUCGCAAGAUUAAAACUCAAAGGAAUUGACGGGGACCCGCACAAGCGGUGGAUGAUGUGGAUUAAUUCGAUGCAACGCGAAAAACCUUACCUACCCUUGACAUGGCAGGAACCUYGGAGAGAUCUGAGGGUGCUCGAAAGAGAACCUGCACACAGGUGCUGCAUGGC
rnacentral:rRNA from 1 species